rnacentral:rRNA from 1 species
UACGAAGGGGGCUAGCGUUGCUCGGAAUCACUGGCGUAAAGGGUGCGUAGGCGGGUCUUUAAGUCAGGGGUGAAAUCCUGGAGCUCAACUCCAGAACUGCCUUUGAUACUGAAGAUCUUGAGUUCGGGAGAGGUGAGUGGAACUGCGAGUGUAGAGGUGAAAUUCGUAGAUAUUCGCAAGAACACCAGUGGCGAAGGCGGCUCACUGACCCGAUACUGACGCUGAGGCACGAAAGCGUGGGGAGCAAACAGG